UCAAUAUUCGGACCGUCGGUCUACCGAGCAAUAUCACCCGCGUGGAGGAUCUUCCCUCCGUCGU
rfam:Bombyx mori DNA, contig: Bm_scaf83_contig33281, strain: p50T/Dazao, build 2, whole genome shotgun sequence.